rnacentral:rRNA from 1 species
AUUGAACGCUGGCGGCAGGCCUAACACAUGCAAGUCGAACGAGUGGCGGACGGGUGAGUAAUGUCUGGGAAACUGCCUGAUGGAGGGGGAUAACUACUGGAAACGGUAGCUAAUACCGCAUACCAUCAUAUUUUCCCAGAUGGGAUUAGCUAGUUGGUGGGGUAAUGGCUCACCAAGGCGACGAUCCCUAGCUGGUCUGAGAGGAUGACCAGCAAAACUGGAACUGAGAAACGGUCCAGACUCCUACGGGAGGCAGCAGGGGGGAAUAUUGCACAAUGGGCGCAAGCCUGAUGAAGCCAUGCCGCGUGUAUGAAGAAGGCCUUCGGGUGGUAAAGUACUGUAAGCGGGGAGGCGUUACCCGCAGAAGAAGCACCGGCUAACUACGUGCCAGCAGCCGCGGUAAUAC